GUUGUUGCUGAUUAUUGUUGUGAUGCUGAUACUGUUGAUUGUUUCUGAAAACAGGUGCUAUGUGAGCCACCUGAAGCUGGUUACCAGCAGGACGCACGGUCUUCCUCCUCACCGAGGGUCUUCUUAUUUUAACAUGGGAGGUCACAGCAUGUGCCUUGCCAUCUUUCUUCUUUCCAAACGUCCCAUACUGUUUGGCAGAAAAUCCUUCUUCUCUGGUUAGGCGCCCU
rnacentral:lncRNA from 1 species